AUUGAACGCUGGCGGAAUGCUUUACACAUGCAAGUCGAACGGCAGCACGGGGCAACCUGGUGGCGAGUGGCGAACGGGUGAGUAAUACAUCGGAACGUGCCCAAUCGUGGGGGAUAACGUAGCGAAAGUUACGCUAAUACCGCAUACGAUCUACGGAUGAAAGCGGGGGAUCGCAAGACCUCGCGCGAGUGGAGCGGCCGAUGGCAGAUUAGGUAGUUGGUGGGAUAAAAGCUUACCAAGCCGACGAUCUGUAGCUGGUCUGAGAGGACGACCAGCCACACUGGGACUGAGACACGGCCCAGACUCCUACGGGAGGCAGCAGUGGGGAAUUUUGGACAAUGGGCGAAAGCCUGAUCCAGCCAUGCCGCGUGCAGGAUGAAGGCCUUCGGGUUGUAAACUGCUUUUGUACGGAACGAAAAGACUCUUUCUAAUAAAGAGGGUCCAUGACGGUACCGUAAGAAUAAGCACCGGCUAACUACGUG
rnacentral:rRNA from 1 species